UCUGCUCUGCGUCCAUGGAAGGGACGAACUGUCUGUAACUGUGACCAUGAAAGGGAUGAACUGUGUGUUGAUUGUCUUUCUCUGUGUUUGUUGGUGUUGGUUACCUCAUUCUAUGUUCUUGGACUUGGACUGACGACAUCUUUGGACAUUGGACAGACCGAAUCUACCUUGUUAAACAUUCUAGUUAAUCACUGGAGGGAAGUUAGGAAAAGAAGAGAAGAGCAAGUUUAACUGACUCUGUUCUCAGAAUGGCCCACUUUUGGAGUAAGGGGGCCACCUGUAGGGACCUUCAACUUGCAGGUGAUCAAAGCAGUAGAGGAAAAAGUCUUUAGGCCAGGAUCCCUGCUGCACCCAGACCAAGUGUCCUGGAAGAAUCUCGUGGAGAACCCACCCCCCUUCCCCUCCCCACCGAUAAAAGCCUUUCUUUCCCCAAGACCCACCUCACAGGUUCUGACUGUCGGGAAGAAAGAAGCACGGGAGGAGGGAUCCGGGCCUGAGAGAAGUCAAUCCUCCAAGACCCUUCGCCAGCGGAUCUGUUGCUCCAAGACCCUCCUCCUCCAUAUCACCCUUCCCUUUCCCCCAUGGCCCUGCCGGUGCUGGCUCCAGCUCUGGAAUCCUCAGCCCAUAUAGGACCAGGGCCAUUGUAUCCCACUUUACCGGAGGAAUGAACAGGAGGAGAACCCCAACUUCCCGGUCCUGCCAUGGGGACCCAAAGUCUGAGAGCCACCUCCCCUGAUACCACGGUGGCUCUCUUGCUGGGGACAUAUGGGCCUCUGGAAAAGGGCAAUCAGGCUAUGCAAUAUUGGCCCUUCUCUUUGGCUGACUUGUACAACUGGAAGGCCCAACCCCCCCCCCUUUCCCAAGGGGCAGAUUAAUGUCUUUGAGACUGUUUUAUUUACUCAUCAGCCCACCUAGGUGAUAUCCAACAACUCACGAGAGUACUCUUCAUGACCGAAGAGAGAGAAGAUAAUGCAGGAAGCUAGAAAGACAUGGGGGCACCAUCGAUUGACCAGGUUGUUGUCGACAGCGGGCUUUCUCUGACUAGACCUGAGUAGGACUUGUCUUAGUCAGGGUUUCUACUCCUGCACAAACAUCAUGACCAUGUUUUGGGGAAGCAAGCCAUUAAAGAACAUCCCUCCAUGGCCGCCUCUGCAUCAGCUCCUGUUUUCUGACCUGCUUGAGUUCCAGUCCUGACUUCCUUCAGUGAUGAACAGCAGUAUGGAAGUGUAAGCCGAAUAAACCCUUUCCUCCCCAA
rnacentral:lncRNA from 7 species